CCUACGGGAGGCAGCAGUGGGGAAUAUUGCGCAAUGGGCGAAAGCCUGACGCAGCGACGCCGCGUGAGGGAUGAAGGUCUUCGGAUCGUAAACCUCUGUCAGCAGGGAAGAACGGUCACUGUGCUAAUCAGCAGUGAAUUGACGGUACCUGCAAAGCAACCACCGGCUAACUCCGUGCCAGCAGCCGCGGUAAUACGGAGGGUGCGAGCGUUAAUCGGAAUUACUGGGCGUAAAGCGCUCGUAGGCGGUAUGUCAAGUCAAGGGUGAAAUCCCCGCGCUCAACGUGGGAACUGCCUUUGAAACUGGGCAACUGGAGUGUGUGAGAGGAUAGUGGAAUUCCAGGUGUAGGAGUGAAAUGCGUAGAUAUCUGGAGGAACAUCAGUGGCGAAGGCGACUAUCUGGCACAUAACUGACGCUGAGGAGCGAAAGCGUGGGUAGCAAACAGGAUUAGAUACCCGGGUAGUC
rnacentral:rRNA from 1 species